UACGGAGGGUCCAAGCGUUAUCCGGAAUCAUUGGGUUAAAGGGUCCGUAGGCGGUUUGUAAGUCAGUGGUGAAAGCCCAUCGCUCAACGGUGGAACGGCCAUUGAUACUGCAAGACUUGAAUUAUUAGGAAGUAACUAGAAUAUGGUAGUGUAGCGGUGAAAUGCUUAGAGAUUACAUGGAAUACCAAUUGCGAAGGCAGGUUACUACUAAUGGAUUGACGCUGAUGGACGAAAGCGUGGGUAGCGAACAGG
rnacentral:rRNA from 1 species